UACGGGGGGGGCAAGCGUUGUUCGGAAUUACUGGGCGUAAAGGGCUCGUAGGCGGCCAUCUAAGUCGGACGUGAAAUCCCUCGGCUUAACCGGGGAACUGCGUCCGAUACUGGAGGGCUCGAGUGUGGGAGAGGGAUGCGGAAUUCCAGGUGUAGCAGUGAAAUGCGUAGAUAUCUGGAGGAACACCGGUGGCGAAGGCGGCAUCCUGGACCAUUACUGACGCUGAGGAGCGAAAGCCAGGGGAGCAAACGGG
rnacentral:rRNA from 1 species